rnacentral:rRNA from 1 species
CCCGGGCGACCGGCGCACGGGUGAGUAACACGUAUGAAACCUGCCCGUAGCAGGGGGAUAAGCGGAAGAAAUUCCGUCUAAUACCGCGUAACAACCCAUGGAGGCAUCUCUGUGGGUUUAAAGGAAGCGAUUCCGGCUACGGAUGGUCAUGCGUCGCAUUAGCUUGUUGGCGGGGUAACGGCCCACCAAGGCGACGAUGCGUAGGGGUUCUGAGAGGAAGGUCCCCCACACUGGUACUGAGACACGGACCAGACUCCUACGGAAGGCAGCAG